AGUGAACGCUGGCGGUAUGCCUAAUACAUGCAAGUCGAACGGCAGCACAGUAAGAUCUUGCUCUUACGGGUGGCGAGUGGCGGACGGGUGAGAAAUACAUCGCAUUCUACUUAUUCUUGGGUGACAACGUAGGGACACUUCCGCUACUACCGCAUAUGAUCUACGGGUUAAAUCAAGAGUUCUUCGCACCUUUCGCGACAGAUUGAGCCGAUGUCGCAUUAGCUAGUUGGCGUGGUAACGGCACACCAAGGCAACGAUCCGUAGCUGGUCUGAGAGGGUGAUCAGCCACACUGGAACUGAGACACGGUCCAGACUCCUACGGGAGGCAGCAGUGGGGAAUAUUGCGCAAUGGGCGCAAGCCUGACCGAGCAACGCCGCGUGGGUGAAGAAGGUCUUCGGGUUGUAAAGCCCUUUUAUUAGGGAAGAAAAGAAGCGUAAUAAUCCCCGGAUGUCCUGACGGUACCCAAACAGUAAGCACCGGCUAACUUCGUG
rnacentral:rRNA from 1 species